UAUGAAAAAGUGCUCAACUGACAAAAUGUAGAUAAAUUGAAGGCAAACAUUUUGUCAGUUUACUAAUUUUUGAUA
ensembl:ncRNA F32B4.10 ncRNA